AGUGCUAAGUGUUAGGGGGUUUCCGCCCCUUAGUGCUGCAGCUAACGCAUUAAGCACUCCGCCUGGGGAGUACGGUCGCAAGACUGAAACUCAAAGGAAUUGACGGGGGCCCGCACAAGCGGUGGAGCAUGUGGUUUAAUUCGAAGCAACGCGAAGAACCUUACCAGGUCUUGACAUCCCAUUGACCACUGUAGAGAUACAGUUUUCCCUUCGGGGACAACGGUGACAGGUGGUGCAUGGCUGUCGUCAG
rnacentral:rRNA from 1 species